rnacentral:tRNA from 1 species
AAGCCUAUGAUUUUAUGGUAGAAAUUAUUUCUUGGUUAGAAAUCAAUAGAAGUUCAAAUCUUCUUGGGCUUA